rnacentral:lncRNA from 1 species
AAAAAAUUGUCUCAGGUAGAAAUGAAAAUGAGAUUUUACAUAUUAAAGUUUCCGUCAGACUAAAAUUAAGCAAAUUUUCAUAUUGAUAAAUAAUCUCAAUAAUUAUAUCAUGAAUACGGAAAUAGUAUCAAUCUGAUUACCAGGCCUAGAAGAGGAAAAGAGAAAAAAAAAGACAAGAUGAAUACUAUGAUAUAUAUAUAUAUAUAUAUAUAUAUAACAAGUCAAAAAGGGUACAACAUCAC